GGUGACGAUGGCGAGAAGGAUACACCUGUUCCCAUGUCGAACACAGAAGUUAAGCUUCUUAGCGCCGAGAGUAGUUGGGGGA
rnacentral:rRNA from 2 species